rnacentral:rRNA from 1 species
AGGGUUGAGUAACACGUGGGCAACCUGCCUAUAAGACUGGGAUAACUUCGGGAAACCGGAGCUAAUACCGGAUACGUUCUUUUCCCGCAUGAGAGAAGAUGGAAAGACGGUUUCGGCUGUCACUUAUAGAUGGGCCCGCGGCGCAUUAGCUAGUUGGUGAGGUAAUGGCUCACCAAGGCGACGAUGCGUAGCCGACCUGAGAGGGUGAUCGGCCACACUGGGACUGAGACACGGCCCAGACUCCUACGGGAGGCAGCAGUAGGGAAUCUUCCGCAAUGGACGAAAGUCUGACGGAGCAACGCCGCGUGAGCGAAGAAGGCCUUCGGGUCGUAAAGUUCUGUUGUUAGGGAAGAACAAGUACCAGAGUAACUGCUGGUACCUUGACGGUACCUAACCAGAAAGCCACGGCUAACUACGUGCCAGCAGCCGCGAUAAUACGUAGGUGGCAAGCGUU